CUUCGGUGAUGAUACGAUGACGAGUCUGAAUGGGUAAACCUUUUCCCAGUGGGCUGCUGCUUGCAUCACGUUCUGUGUUGUGGCUGCUGGUUCACUGAGUCGAGACUGCCCGUUGCUUGAUGUCCUUGAGGCAUUUGUCUGAGAAGG